AUUGAACGCUGGCGGCAGGCCUAACACAUGCAAGUCGAGCGGAUGAAGGGUGCUUGCUCCUGGAUUCAGCGGCGGACGGGUGAGUAAUGCCUAGGAAUCUGCCUGGCAUUGGGGGAUAACGUCCGGAAACGGGCGCUAAUACCGCAUACGUCCUGCGGGAGAAAGUGGGGGAUCUUCGGACCUCACGCUAUCAGAUGAGCCUAGGUCGGAUUAGCUAGUUGGUGGGGUAAAGGCCUACCAAGGCGACGUUCCGUAACUGGUCUGAGAGGAUGAUCAGCCACACUGGAACUGAGACACGGUCCAGACUCCUACGGGAGGCAGCAGUGGGGAAUAUUGGGCAAUGGGCGAAAGCCUGAUCCAGCCAUGCCGCGUGUGUGAAGAAGGUCUUCGGAUCGUAAAGCACUUUUAGUUGGGAGGAAGGGCAGUAAGUUAAGACGUUGCUGUUUUGACGGUACCAACAGAAUAAGCACCGGCUAACUACGUG
rnacentral:rRNA from 1 species